AGAGUUUGAUCCUGGCUCAGAACGAACGUUGGCGGCGUGGAUUAGGCAUGCAAGUCGAACGAAUCCCAUCAGCAAUGGUGGGGGAAGUGGCGAAAGGGGCAGUAAUGUAUGGAUAACCUACCCUGGGGUUAGGCAUAGCCGUUCUAACGAACGGGUAAUUCUUAGCGAUUCGGCGAGUUGGCAUCAAUUUGCCGGGAAAGAUUUAUCGCCUCGGGAGGGGUCCAUAUCGUAUUACCUAGUUGGUGAGGUAACGGCUCACCAAGGGGAAGAUGCGUAGCGGGUGUGAGAGCACGACCCGCGCCACUGGCACUGUGACACUGGCCAGACACCUACGGGUGGCUGCAGUCGAGGAUCUUCGUCAAUGGACGAAAGUCUGAACGAGCGACGCCGCGUGUGCGACGAAGGCCUUCGGGUUGUAAAGCACAAAAGUGGGGAUAAAAGCCGAAAGGUCUGAUUGAUCCACAGUAAGCUCGGGCUAAGUUCGUGCCAGCCGCCGCGGUAAUUC
rnacentral:rRNA from 1 species